UAAAAAUAUUUACGUAUCUGUAAGGAAAAUUACAGAAUGCAGUAAGAUUGGUAUUUUAUUUGCAGAGUAUAUUUUAUUUUGUUUCAUUUUAUGUGCUAUAUUUAAACGUAUACUCUUCAGCGUUGCAAAUUACAAUUGCAUUAUAUUAUUCGUACGUGUUUCGCGCGAGCAUUAUAUCGCAGUGCUUAUCCAAUGCCGUUAAAGGGUAUUUGGCAUAUCUAAGCUUAGCAUAGCAAUACCUUCACCGAAGAUAAUCGAACUCGAAAGUCAUAGUUACGUUAUAUCGCUAGAAAUUUGAUUUGUAUUGCUGUUGAAAUAACAUACGAACGCGUUGACGGAUACACUACUCACAGAAUUGUGCAAGAUUUUCAACGAGUCAAGCUUAUAUCGUUAGGAAGCAUCUAAUUUGAUCGAUUAUUUUGCUCGACGUCUGCUUUGUUAACGUAACUCAGUUAGCUUUGAUCGUUGUUCCGUCGUUGAUCGAUAUUGGUCUGGCACGUAUUUCUUUCUUUCGUUUCUUUUGGUUUCGCUUGAUGUUCUCAGCGAAUCGUUAGCGGAAACGGAAGCGCGUGCAGGUAGCAAAUUGUAAAAAGAGAAAUAUGAUCGAAGAGACUAGAGGUCAAGGAACCAGAUGACGAUUAGAUAAAACAUACAGAGAAACUAAAACGUACGCGUGCAUGCGCGGCAUAGGAGAGAAAUCGAACGAUACGCGAUCCAUCGAUCGUAUUAAAGAGCUAAAAAGAAAAAAAAAAA